GACGAACGCUGGCGGCGUGCCUAAUACAUGCAAGUAGAACGCACAGUUUAUACCGUAGCUUGCUACACCAUACACUGUGAGUUGCGAACGGGUGAGUAACGCGUAGGUAACCUGCCUGGUAGCGGGGGAUAACUAUUGGAAACGAUAGCUAAUACCGCAUAAUAUUGAUUAUUGCAUGAUAAUUGAUUGAAAGAUGCUAUUGCAUCACUACCAGAUGGACCUGCGUUGUAUUAGCUAGUAGGUGAGGUAACGGCUCACCUAGGCGACGAUACAUAGCCGACCUGAGAGGGUGAUCGGCCACACUGGGACUGAGACACGGCCCAGACUCCUACGGGAGGCAGCAGAAGGGAAUCUUCGGCAAUGGACGAAAGUCUGACCGAGCAACGCCGCGUGAGUGAAGAAGGUUUUCGGAUCGUAAAGCUCUGUUGUAAGAGAAGAACGGGUGUGAGAGUGGAAAGUUCACACUGUGACGGUAUCUUACCAGAAAGGGACGGCUAACUACGUG
rnacentral:rRNA from 1 species